GCGGGUGUAGUUCAAUGGUAGAACUCCAGCCUUCCAAGCUGACUACGUGGGUUCGAUUCCCAUCACCCGCUCCA
rnacentral:tRNA from 5 species